rnacentral:rRNA from 1 species
CCUACGGGAGGCAGCAGUGAGGAAUAUUGGUCAAUGGGCGCGAGCCUGAACCAGCCAAGUAGCGUGAAGGAUGACUGCCCUACGGGUUGUAAACUUCUUUUAUAAAGGAAUAAAGUGAGGCACGUGUGCCUUUUUGUAUGUACUUUAUGAAUAAGGAUCGGCUAACUCCGUGCCAGCAGCCGCGGUAAUACGGAGGAUGCGAGCGUUAUCCGGAUUUAUUGGGUUUAAAGGGUGCGUAGGCGGAUCGUUAAGUCAGUGGUCAAAUUGAGGGGCUCAACCCCUUCCCGCCAUUGAAACUGGCGCUCUUGAGUGGAAGAGAAGUAUGCGGAAUGCGUGGUGUAGCGGUGAAAUGCAUAGAUAUCGCGCAGAACUCCGAUUGCGAAGGCAGCCUGCUGGACUGUAACUGACGCUGAUGCUCGAAAGUGUGGGUAUCAAACAGGAUUAGAUACCCUUGUAGUC